rnacentral:rRNA from 1 species
CCAAUAGCGUAUAUUAAAGUUGUUGCAGUUAAAAAGCUCGUAGUUGAACUUCAGGCCUGUCCAGAUGGUCCGCCUUAAUUGGUGUGUACUGUCCUUGGGUGGGUCCUACCUUCUGGCGAAGCGGCAUGGCCUUAAUUGGUUGUGUUGGGGAACCAGGACUUUUACUGUGAAAAAAUUAGAGUGUUCAAAGCAGGCAAAUAUGCUCGAAUACAUUAGCAUGGAAUAAUGGAAUAGGACGAUGGUUCUAUUUUGUUGGUUCUAGGACCGUUGUAAUGAUUAAUAGGGAUAGUUGGGGGCAUUAGUAUUCAAUUGUCAGAGGUGAAAUUCUUGGAUUUAUUGAAGGCUAACUACUGCGAAAGCAUUUGCCAAGGAUGUUUUCAUUAAUCAAGAACGAAAGUUAGGGGAUCGAAGACGAUCAGAUACCGUCGUAGUCUUAACCAUAAACUAUGCCGACUAGGAAUCGGGCGAUGUUGACAAAAUGACUCGCUCGGCACCUCAUG